CCUACGGGAGGCUGCAGUAGGGAAUCUUCCACAAUGGGCGAAAGCCUGAUGGAGCAACGCCGCGUGGGUGAAGAAGGUCUUCGGAUCGUAAAACCCUGUUGUUAGAGAAGAAAGUGUGUGCGAGUAACUGUUCACGUUUCGACGGUAUCUAACCAGACAGCCACGGCUAACUACGUGCCAGCAGCCGCGGUAAUACGUAGGUGGCAAGCGUUAUCCGGAUUUAUUGGGCUUAAUGGGAACGCAGGCGGUCUUUUAAGUCUGAUGUGAAAGCCUUCGGCUUAACCGGAGGAGUGCAUUGGAAACUGGGAGACUUGAGUGCAGAAGAGGAGAGUGGAACUCCAUGUGUAGCGGUGAAAUGCGUAGAUAUAUGGAAGAACACCAGUGGCGAAAGCGGCUCUCUGGGCUGUAACUGACGCUGAGGUUCGAAAGCGUGGGUAGCAAACAGGAUUAGAUACCCGGGUAGUC
rnacentral:rRNA from 1 species